UACGUAGGUGGCAAGCGUUGUCCGGAAUUACUGGGUGUAAAGGGCGUGUAGGCGGGAAGGCAAGUCAGGUGUGAAAUAUCCAGGCUUAACUUGGAUGGGUCAUCCGAAACUGCAGAUCUUGAGUGCUGGAGAGGAUAGUGGAAUUCCUGGUGUAGCGGUAAAAUGCGUAGAUAUCAGGAGGAACACCAGUGGCGAAGGCGGCUAUCUGGACAGUAACUGACGCUGAGGCGCGAAAGCGUGGGUAGCAAACAGGAUUAGAUA
rnacentral:rRNA from 1 species